rnacentral:lncRNA from 1 species
GCCGAGAGGUUUGUUUGUUCCUGGCGAGGGAGCUCUUUCUAACCUAGGCAGAAGCAGCCAACCUUCUGAAAUACCCCGGGGCAGGAAUUCCAGGGCUUCCCACCUCCGGACUUCUCAGUAGAACAAACUAACUCUGUUAGAAUGCCAGAGGUUUUCAAGGAAUGCAAAAAAGAAAGCAGAGUGAAAGGAAAGAAAGACACUGAAGAGGUCCUCACUGGCAGUAACUUAUUCUUGUUACUUCUGCAUACCAUCAAUGAUGUUUGCAUCUUCAGCAAGCCUAGACAUCUCUGCCUGUGAACUUGGGAUGGAUGGAAGAUAUCUAUGGAAGGAUGCAGAUGAUGAGGCCAUUAAGAACCCAACUGUGGUGGACAGUCUUUUUCAAAUUAUUAUUAUUAUUAUUAUUAUUAGUAGUAGUAGUAGUAGUAGUAUGUUGUAUUAUUCCAUAGUAUCUGACCACCCUCUCUAAUACAAAUCAUACUUAAUGUUGUCACUUACGGUACAGUAUACACAUAGCACCAUGGAAACUAGCCAUGGGGUUAGCCCUUACUACUGCAUGAAUGUCUGAAGAGUAGGUACCAUCAACUAUCCUUCUAUGCUGCAUCAAUUAUCCUGUCUACUGCUGUAUGUCCAUUUUUACCUAUCAUUAAGCUUCACAAAAACUUAAGUUACUUAAAAAUUAAACAUUCAAAUGUUUGUUGAGAAAACAAUAAACAUGAAAAAUUUUCCUAUUACUUCGGCCAAUAAAAAAUUUAGAACUUCUAGUAACUAGGCACACAGGACUCUAAAGUAUGCUAUGCCUUGCCUGCUUUGGGCUACAAAUAUAUUCUGUUUUCUUGUGACUCCACCUUUACAGGAAGAGUUCUCGCUGGCCCCAUAUGCUUGAUGGCUUUGGGGUCUUCUUUCCAGGGCUUCACAUGGCUGCUGUCUUCCUAAGGAUAAAUUGCCUAUUUGACAGUAGAAUAAUGAAAUUCAUUUCAAGGUUGCUUCUGUCAAAGCCACCAGGUCCAGCAUUCUGGAGACUGCUCUGUAUAUAAAGUGCUUAAUUGAAAGUAAUCAAUGCCACAAAUCAAUUCAGGAUUUAGCAUCAAACACUGUUUGCUGAAUAAGACUGGAAGGCAAUCCCUGGUCUCAUAGAACUCAGGGAAAUCACAAAGUGAAAGCUUCAUUCUAGCUUACACUGCCUUCCUUAAAAGGUGCUGGUAUGAGCCCAUUAUACAGAAGCUAGAAUGCAAGGGUAAAAUAGAAAAUUGAUUUAACUUUUUUAUUU